CGGGUGAGUAACACGUAUCCAACCUGCCGUCUACUCUUGGACAGCCUUCUGAAAGGAAGAUUAAUACAAGAUGGCAUCAUGAGUCCGCAUGUUCACAUGAUUAAAGGUAUUCCGGUAGACGAUGGGGAUGCGUUCCAUUAGAUAGUAGGCGGGGUAACGGCCUACCAAGGCGACGAUCAGUAGCCGGCCUGAGAGGGUGAACGGCCACAUUGGGACUGAGACACGGCCCAA
rnacentral:rRNA from 1 species